rnacentral:rRNA from 1 species
AUUGAACGCUGGCGGCAUGCUUUACACAUGCCAGUCGAGCGGUAACAGGCCGCAAGGUGCUGACGAGUGGCGAACGGGUGAGUAAUGCAUCGGAACGUGCCCAGCCGUGGGGGAUAACUACUCGAAAGAGUAGCUAAUACCGCAUACGAUCUAUGGAUGAAAGCGGGGGACCGUAAGGCCUCGCGCGAUUGGAGCGGCCGAUGUCAGAUUAGGUAGUUGGUGGGGUAAAGGCUCACCAAGCCAACGAUCUGUAGCUGGUCUGAGAGGACGACCAGCCACACUGGGACUGAGACACGGCCCAGACUCCUACGGGAGGCAGCAGUGGGGAAUUUUGGACAAUGGGCGCAAGCCUGAUCCAGCAAUGCCGCGUGCAGGAAGAAGGCCUUCGGGUUGUAAACUGCUUUUGUACGGAACGAAACGGCUCUGGUUAAUACCCGGGGCUAAUGACGGUACCGUAAGAAUAAGCACCGGCUAACUACGUG